UUGGGCAUAUGUUCAUGUACUAUUUAGGCUCAGAAUUAUUUUUAGCAGUUUUUUUGACAUUCUUCCUCACGGACCUGCCUGUUACAGUAUUAUUUUUUAUGAGAAAAUAAUGCAACUUUUGAACUAAGCCUAUAAUCAUCAACCUCUGCCUACUGUAAGUUUGAGCUCUACAUUGGAGUUGCUUUGAUUGACUAUCAAUUAGCAUGCACCUCUGAAUGCAACCGUGAUGGCGGGUCGUUCGAAGAAAACAUUUAUGGAUGAAUAGAUGAUUGCUUUCACACGAUAAAACUGUUGAAUUGUUUGGGUAUGUAUUUUCUGAAGAAAAAAGGUGGGAUUUCCACUAAAAGCCAUAAUAGUUCUAUUGAGGUCUUCUUGCUGUGUGUCACCACUUUUGGUUGAAUUUAAAAUUUACCUGCAAGUAAUUCAUUUGCAUGUGCAUGAACUUUUUGCAUAUGGUGCCUGAUGUUUCAUCUUGUUGCAGUGUUGAUUCUAUAUCUCGAGCAAAGCAGAUUCUUACCUCGAUGCAUGGAAGAGCAAGAGGAGCAUAUGGCCAUAGCCACUUAUUAUUGCCUCACAUACUAAUAUAAAUCUACGAGAUUGGUCUUUUCUGGACACCUGCUGCGACUCUAAGUACUAUUUCGCUGUUUCUUUUUAAAUUUUCAGUGAGAAUGAACACAAGGGCAUAUGCUUUGUUGCGUGACGUUCAUUUACUUGCUUUAUAUCAUAGGAACUGGAGUUCAAGAAGCAACACUACUGAGCUUGAUUUCUCCUGUUACCUUGCAAAGAGGUGAAUUACAUUUUGGGCAUAUGUUCAUGUAUUACUAUUCUUGAUUGGAGCUAUAGCUUUUUUGGUAAUUUGAUAACACCACAAGCAGUAAUCGUGUUUGAAAGCCAAAAACAUACAGAAUGUGUAAACGGUUUUGAUGUACUGUCAGUUUAGGAGCAAAGUAACCAUUAGUAAACAGUCUAGGAAAUCUGAAUGCAUCUGCACGUCAAUGUGAUCUUCUGUUCAUCCCUUGUACUGAUUCUAACAUUGAUGAGUUUUUGCGGACAAUGUUUUAAUGCUAGCUGUUGUAAGUAGUCACUGUGGUUUCAGCAUGAUGCUUGCUGUAUGCAGUUUGCAGUAUCAGUUUGACGCAUAAGCCUUUCGAAAUUAAUUCAACUUGACUGAAUUUUACUUUCCUCUCUUCUCUCAUGCUUAAAUUUCUUGCUUGUGUUUAGUAUGAUGCGCAAGAGAGUUGAUGCUCGCCGCGUUCCAACUCUGAGGGAUGUGCAUCCACACACGAAAUGGAGUUUAUGUCUCAGAGUAUACCACAAAUUCCACAUUGAACGAAUUGGCUUUGGGAGGAAGAGACUAAACUUGGUCGUGUUGGACACAGAGGUAAAGCUCGGGACAUCUUUUUUUUCUAUAAUGAUUAACCAUUUUGUUUAUUCCUUGGAAUUUUAAGCUGAAAAUAGUAGGAGAAGUGCCUAAUAUGCUAUAAAGAACAGAGUGGCAAAUACAUUAAAAAAAGACAGGGAGCACAAGAAAAAGUAUUCACCUUUGUACAUGGUCUGUAUGCUUUUCUCUGCAAACAAAAAAUCGUGUUUUAUGUUUCCGCUCAUUGAUUUCAGCAUGCCUGUAAACAGAUGCAACUCCACCUUCCUCUGGUACAAAACUGGAAAAGUAGGAAAUAAAUUUCUCGGUCUCAUUUCCCUGUACUUCACAGUAUUAAACACCACGUCCACCAAGAGUAACAUAUAAUUCCACAGCCUUGAUUGCAGCUUUAUCAGCUUCAUCCUUUUCAUUAAUUAAAAUGCAACAAGUUUGCUACUUCUAUGACAGUCUAUCGACAAAAAUGCAACAAGUAAUUUUACGGAUGAAUAGAUGAUUGCUUUCACAUGAUAAAACUUUUGAAUUCUUUGGGUAUGUAUUUUCUGAAGAAAAAAGGUGGGAUUUCCACUAAAAGCCAUAAUAGUUCUGUUGAGGUCUUCUUGUUGUGUGUCACCACUUUUGGUUGAAUUCAAAAUUUACCUGCAAAUAAUUCAUUUGCAUGUGCAUGAACUUGUUUCAUAUAGUGCCUGAUGUUUCAUCUUGUUGCAGUGCUGAUUCUAUAUCUCGAGCAAAGCAGAUUCUUACCUCGAUGCCUGGAAGAGCAAGAGGAGCAUACGGCCAUAGCCACGUAAUCGUUGGUGAGGAUCAUGGAGAAGAUUCAUGGAUCAUUGGUGACAAAGGCAUAUUUUCUUUAAAGGUGCCUCUGUUUCAUAUCACCCAAGCCGGAAAAUAUGAGGAUCUUCUCCAAGCGGGACCUGGGCUCAAUGCACCAAGAACAACAUCAACUGAAGCAACACUUCCUGUAUAUAUAUAAUGUAUUUUGAGCCUUGG
rnacentral:lncRNA from 1 species